AGAGUUUGAUCCUGGCUCAGAUUGAACGCUGGCGGUAUGCUUAACACAUGCAAGUCGAACGGUAACAGGCAAAGCUUGCUUUGCGCUGACGAGUGGCGGACGGGUGCGUAACGCGUGGGAAUCUGCCUUAUAGUGGAGGAUAGCCCGGAGAAAUCCGGAUUAAUACUGCAUAAGCCCUACGGGGGAAAGCUGGGGAUCUUCGGACCUGGCGCUAUUAGAUGAGCCCGCGUUAGAUUAGCUUGUUGGUGAGGUAAUGGCUCACCAAGGCAACGAUCUAUAGCUGGUCUGAGAGGACGAUCAGCCACACUGGGACUGAGACACGGCCCAGACUCCUACGGGAGGCAGCAGUGGGGAAUAUUGCACAAUGGGCGCAAGCCUGAUGCAGCAAUACCGCGUGUGUGAAGAAGGCCUGAGGGUUGUAAAGCACUUUCAAUAGUGAAGAAAAGUUGUUGGUUAAUAACCUUCAACCUUGACGUUAACUAUACAAGAAGCACCGCUAACU
rnacentral:rRNA from 1 species